rnacentral:misc_RNA from 1 species
GAUGAAGAACGUAGCGAAAUGCGAUAAGUAAUGUGAAUUGCAGAAUUCAGUGAAUCAUCGAAUAUUUGAACGCACAUUGCGACCGCCAGUAUUCUGGCGGGCAUGCCUGUUCGAGCGUCAUUUCAACCAUCAAGCCCCAGGCUUGUGUUGGGGACCUGCGGCUGCCGCAGGCCCUGAAAACCAGUGGCGGGCUCGCUGUCACACCGGGCGUAGUAGAUUUUAUCUCGCUCAGGGCGUGCUGCGGGUUCCGGCCGUUAAAAAGCCUUUUUUACCCAAGGUUGACCUCGGAUCAGGUAGGAAUACCCGCUGAACUUAAGCAUAUCAAUAAGCGGAGGA